GAUGAAGAACGCAGCGAAAUGCGAUACUUGGUGUGAAUUGCAGAAUCCCGUGAACCAUCGAGUCUUUGAACGCAAGUUGCGCCUCAAGCCAUUAGGUUGAGGGCACGUCUGCCUGGGCGUCACAUAUCGUUGCCUGAUGCCAGUUUCCUCGUGAUGGGUGACUGUGCAGGGCGAAUGAUGGCUUCCCGUGAGCAUUGUUGCCUCAUGGUUGGUUGAAAAUUGAGUCCUUGGUAGGGAGCGCCGUGAUAGAUGGUGGUUGAGUGACGAACGAGACCCAAUCAUGUGAGACCCCUACCGAAUUUGGCCUUCAUGACCCACAUGCGUCUUUGGAACGCUCAUGACGAGACCUCAGUUCAGGCGGGGCUACCCGCUGAGUUUAAGCAUAUCAAUAAGCGGAGG
rnacentral:misc_RNA from 1 species